UAACUACUCCCUCCGUCUGGAAUUACUUAUCGCGGAAAUGAAUAAAAAUGGAUGUAUCUAUCACUAAAAUACGUCGAGAUACAUUCAUUUCUCCGACAAGUAAUUCCGGGCGGAGGGAGUAUUUA
rfam:Triticum aestivum genome assembly, contig: Triticum_aestivum_CS42_TGACv1_scaffold_061770_1DL